AACGAACGCUGGCGGCGUGGAUAAGACAUGCAAGUCGAACGGGAUCAUUGAGGUAGCAAUAUCGCGAUGGUCUAGUGGCGAACGGGUGCGUAACACGUGGAUACAUUCCGGGAAGCGAGGGAUAGCCCAGGGAAACUUGGAUUAAUACCGCAUGUGGUCGAAAGACUAAAGGCAGGGACCGCAAGGCCUGCCACUUCCCGAUUGGUCCGCGGCCUAUCAGCUAGUUGGCGGGGUAAAAGCCCACCAAGGCUACGACGGGUAGCUGGUCUUAGAGGACGACCAGCCACACUGGAACUGAGACACGGUCCAGACACCUACGGGUGGCAGCAGUCGAGAAUCUUUCACAAUGGGGGCAACCCUGAUGGAGCGACGCCGCGUGGAGGAUAAGGGUCUUCGGAUUGUAAACUCCUGUCAUGUGUGAACAAACCUGGUGGUUGAACAAACUACCAGCUGAUAGUAGCAGAAGAGGAAGGGACGGCUAACUCUGUGCCAGCAGCCGCGGUAAU
rnacentral:rRNA from 1 species